rnacentral:snoRNA from 1 species
AAUCCAUGCAUCAGGCACUUCCAAAUUAAAUCUUUAAAUCAUUCCUAAGCUUAUAUAAUGUUUCAUCCUCUAAUUGUUGAAAAGAUGUGAUGUCAUUUCUAAGCUU